rnacentral:rRNA from 1 species
GUGAGGAAUAUUGGUCAAUGGACGCAAGUCUGAACCAGCCAUGCCGCGUGCAGGAAGAAGGUUCUAUGGAUUGUAAACUGCUUUUGUACAGGAAGAAAUUAUCCCUCGUGAGGGAGCUUGACAGUACUGUAAGAAUAAGCACCGGCUAACUCCGUGCCAGCAGCCGCGGUAAUACGGAGGGUGCGAGCGUUGUCCGGAUUUAUUGGGUUUAAAGGGUGCGUAGGCUGGAAGGUCAGUCAGCGGUGAAAAGCUGUCGCUUAACGAUAGUCUUGCCGCAGAUACUUCCUUUCUUGGAUGAGGAGGAGGCCACUGGAACGGAUGGUGUAGCGGUGAAAUGCAUAGAUAUCAUCCAGAACACCGAUUGCGAAGGCAGGUGGCUGUACCUUAAUCGACGCUGAUGCACGAAAGCAUGGGGAGCAAACAGGAUUAGAUACCCGAGUAGUCC